rnacentral:rRNA from 1 species
GAUGAACGCUGGCGGCGUGCCUAAUACAUGCAAGUCGAGCGAACGGACGAGAAGCUUGCUUUUCUGAUGUUAGCGGCGGACGGGUGAGUAACACGUGGAUAACCUACCUAUAAGACUGGGAUAACUUCGGGAAACCGGAGCUAAUACCGGAUAAUAUUUUGAACCGCAUGGUUCAAAAGUGAAAGACGGUCUUGCUGUCACUUAUAGAUGGAUCCGCGCUGCAUUAGCUAGUUGGUAAGGUAACGGCUUACCAAGGCAACGAUGCAUAGCCGACCUGAGAGGGUGAUAGGCCACACUGGAACUGAGACACGGUCCAGACUCCUAAGGGAGGCAGCAGUAGGGAAUCUUCCGCAAUGGGCGAAAGCCUGACGGAGCAACGCCGCGUGAGUGAUGAAGGUCUUCGGAUCGUAAAACUCUGUUAUUAGGGAAGAACAUAUGUGUAAGUAACUGUGCACAUCUUGACGGUACCGAAUCAGAAAGCCACGGCUAACUACGUG